rnacentral:rRNA from 1 species
GAGAGGAAACAGCCCAGAGCAUCGACUAAGGCCCCUAAGCGUACGCUAAGUGGGAAAGGAUGUGGAGUCGCAGAGACAACCAGGAGGUUGGCUUAGAAGCAGCCACCCUUGAAAGAGUGCGUAAUAGCUCACUGGUCAAGUGAUUCCGCGCCGACAAUGUAGCGGGGCUCAAGCGUACCGCCGAAGUCGUGUCAUUCACACAUAUAGGGCCAACGCCUGUGUGGAUGGGUAGGGGAGCGUCGUGUGCCGGGUGAAGCAGCCGCGGAAGCGAGUUGUGGACGGUUCACGAGUGAGAAUGCAGGCAUGAGUAGCGAUACACACGUGAGAAACGUGUGCGCCGAUUGACUAAGGGUUCCUGGGUCAAGCUGAUCUGCCCAGGGUAAGUCGGGACCUAAGGCGAGGCCGACAGGCGUAGUCGAUGGACAACCGGUUGAUAUUCCGGUACCCGCUUUGAAACGCCCAAUACUGAAUCAGGCGAUGCUAAGUCCGUGAAGCCGGCCCGAUCUCUUCGGAGUUGAGGGUAGUGGUGGAGCCGACGAACCAGACUUGUACUAGGUAAGCGAUGGGGUGACGCAGGAAGGUAGUCCAGCCCGGGCGGUGGUUGUCCCGGGGUAAGGGUGUAGGACGCACGGUAGGCAAAUCCGUCGUGCAUAUAAGUCUGAGACCUGAUGCCGAGCCGAUUGUGGUGAAGUGGAUGAUCCUAUGCUGUCGAGAAAAGCCUCUAGCGAGUUUCAUGGCGGCCCGUACCCUAAACCGACUCAGGUAGUCAGGUAGAGAAUACCGAGGCGUUCGGGUGAACUAUGGUUAAGGAACUCGGCAAAAUGCCCCCGUAACUUCGGGAGAAGGGGGGCCAUCACUGGUGAUCCGAUUUACUCGGUGAGCUGGGGGUGGCCGCAGAGACCAGCGAGAAGCGACUGUUUACUAAAAACACAGGUCCGUGCGAAGCCGUAAGGCGAUGUAUACGGACUGACGCCUGCCCGGUGCUGGAACGUUAAGGGGACCGGUUAGCUGACUUCGGU